GGAGAUCUCAGGCAGCCGUCCCAUGGAGGCCGAGUUCCAGGUUCCAGGUCGGAAUUGUUUACCUGGUUGCCAUGGAGACCAGGGGUUUGAAGGGACCUCACGUCAGUUGGCCCUGCCAUUGCCUUCCUGGACGCCAAGAUGGGCAGAGGGCUCUCCAGGCAGCUCCAGCAGGGGCCGCCCCCCACAGAGGACGCUCCAGCCCAGGACCCUCCGCGCGCCCCCCUCAGGACGGCCUCACACACGUCAUGGUUCAGGAAGGUCAGGACGAGGCACCCACAUCGCCGCGUGGGCCCCGAAAACACAGAGGAUGUUCCUGUGGCUCCUCCAAGGUAAGCCCUGGGCCCCCAAU